UCCAGACUCCUACGGGAGGCAGCAGUGGGGAAUAUUGCACAAUGGGGGAAACCCUGAUGCAGCGACGCCGCGUGAGCGAUGAAGUAUUUCGGUAUGUAAAGCUCUAUCAGCAGGGAAGAAAAUGACGGUACCUGACUAAGAAGCCCCGGCUAACUACGUGCCAGCAGCCGCGGUAAUACGUAGGGGGCAAGCGUUAUCCGGAUUUACUGGGUGUAAAGGGAGCGUAGACGGCGGUGCAAGCCAGAUGUGAAAGCCCGGGGCCCAACCGCGGGACUGCAUUGGGAACUGGCGCGCUGGAGUGCAGGAGGGGCAGGCGGAAUUCCUGGUGUAGCGGUGAAAUGCGUAGAUAUCAGGAGGAACACCGGUGGCGAAGGCGGCCUGCUGGACUGCAACUGACGUUGAGGCCCGAAAGCGUGGGGAGCAAACAGGAUUAGAUACCCCAGUAACC
rnacentral:rRNA from 1 species